UGGCCAGACUCCUACGGGAGGCAGCAGUGGGGAAUAUUGCACAAUGGGGGGAACCCUGAUGCAGCGACGCCGCGUGGGUGAAGGAGCACCUCGGUGCGUAAAGCCCUAUCGGCAGGGAAGAAACAGACGGUACCUGACUAAGAAGCCCCGACUAACUACGGGCCAGCAGCCGCGGGAAUUAGUAGGGGGCAAACGUUAUCCGGGUUCACUGGGUGUAAAGGGAGCGUAGACGGCGACGCAAGUCUGGAGUGAAAGCCCGGGGCCCAACCCCGGGACUGCUCUGGAAACUGCGUCGCUGGGGUACGGGAGGGGCAGGCGGAAUUCCUGGUGUAGCGGUGAAAUGCGUAGAUAUCAGGAGGAACACCGGCGGCGAAGGCGGCCUGCUGGACCGUGACUGACGUUGAGGCUCGAGAGCGUGGGGAGCAAACAGGAUUAGAUACCCUAGUACAU
rnacentral:rRNA from 1 species